UGCUUUUCUUCGGACAAAUUACAAGGUGCUGCAUGGUUGUCGUCAGCUCGUGCCGUGAGGUGUCAGGUUAAGUCCUAUAACGAGCGCAACCCCUGUUGCUAGUUGCCAGCGAGUCAAGUCGGGAACUCUAGCAAGACUGCCGGUGUAAACCGAGAGGAAGGUGGGGAUGACGUCAAAUCAUCACGGCCCUUACGUCCUGGGCCACACACGUGCUACAAUGGGCGGUACAGAGAGCAGCUACCUAGUGAUAGGAUGCGAAUCUAUAAAACCGUUCUCAGUUCGGAUCGGAGUCUGCAACUCGACUCCGUGAAGCUGGAAUCGCUAGUA
rnacentral:rRNA from 1 species